UGGGGAAUAUUGCACAAUGGGGGAAACCCUGAUGCAGCGACGCCGCGUGAGCGAAGAAGGUUUUCGAAUCGUAAAGCUCUGUCCUAUGAGAAGAUAAUGACGGUAUCAUAGGAGGAAGCCCCGGCUAAAUACGUGCCAGCAGCCGCGGUAAUACGUAUGGGGCGAGCGUUGUCUGGAAUUAUUGGGCGUAAAGGGUACGUAGGCGGUCUAUUAAGUCAGGUGUGAAAGCGUGAGGCUUAACCUCAUUAAGCACUUGAAACUGAUAGACUUGAGUGAAGGAGAGGAAAGUGGAAUUCCUAGUGUAGCGGUGAAAUGCGUAGAUAUUAGGAGGAAUACCGGUGGCGAAGGCGACUUUCUGGACUUUUACUGACGCUCAGGUACGAAAGCGUGGGGAGCAAACAGG
rnacentral:rRNA from 1 species